rnacentral:rRNA from 1 species
GACGAACGCUGGCGGCGUGCUUAACACACGCAAGUCGAACGGAAAGGCCCUGCUUUUGUGGGGUGCUCGAGUGGCGAACGGGUGAGUAACACGUGAGUAACCUGCCCUUGACUUUGGGAUAACUUCAGGAAACUGGGGCUAAUACCGGAUAGGAGCUCCUGCUGCAUGGUGGGGGUUGGAAAGUUUCGGCGGUUGGGGAUGGACUCGCGGCUUAUCAGCUUGUUGGUGGGGUAGUGGCUUACCAAGGCUUUGACGGGUAGCCGGCCUGAGAGGGUGACCGGCCACAUUGGGACUGGGAAACGGCCCAGACUCCUACGGGGGGCAGCGGGGGGGAAAAUUGCACAAGGGGCGGAAGCCGGAGGCAGCAACGCCGGGGGGGGGAGGACGGCCUUGGGGUGGUAAACCGCUUUCGCCUGGAACGAAGGGGGAGGGAGGGUAAUGGGUAAAAAAACACCGGAUAAAUACGU